UUAAAGCUUUGUGAUAGGUUAAUUAUUUGAGCUGAUGUGGAUAGGCUAAGAGUUGAGUAUAUCCAAUUUUUAAUAUUGUUAGAUUGUCAUUUUUCAUUUAUCUUUAUGUUUAUUUUCUAAAUAUACAUUAUAUAAAUUCUGAUUAUGUGAUUUAAUCGAAUUGGAUUGUUUAUGCAUAUCAAAAAUAUUUUAAAUAAAGUUAAGUAUAAUUGAGUUAAUUUUUAUUAGGUAAAUAAAUAGCCAGAUAUUGUAAGAUUUUUGGUCAAACUAGAUCCUUUUGUAUCGGAAUUUGAAAAGAUGUAUAGCUUAAAUUAGAGAUGUUUCACUUUGUGAUUCAUCUAUAAAUGUAUUUCUCUGUAUUCUAAUUUUUAAAACAUCAUUAUUUCAUUAUCUAAGAUGAAAAUUGCUUUCAAACCUUGGUUUAUUAGUUUCAUUAUGCUCACAAUUCUUCUCCACGGUUUGUAUUUACAUUUACAGUUUUAUAAAUAUAUUUUAUAAUAAUGGAGGAAUUUUCAUGUUUACCAUAUUGUUGAUACUAUUAUUCAUGUUACUUUUACUAAAUAACCAUUUUCACAAAUAUGUUCUUCAUUGAAGAAGGAAAAAAUCUCUUUUACCCUUGCUUUAUAUAUAUAAUAAAUAACUGUAUAAAUAAAAAUAUAAAAAUUAAUUUUUGGAUUAUAUGUUUUCAAAUUCGGACUUGUUUAUAAAUUUUGUUUUUGAUUUUUUGUCGAAAUUAGUUUUUUCAAAUUUUCUUUUUGAAACUAUUUUUUUUAAAUACAAUUUUAAGUAUUUAUUUAUGUAUUUAUGAGAAUCCUAAAUUCCACAUUCCAAAACUUUAUACCACUUCUAAACUCUAAACCAUAAAUCUAAAUUAGUUAACCCUAGGGUUGUAAGUGUUUUUUUACCAAUUUUAAAGUACGGGUAAAAGUUGUUAAGGUAAACAUGAAAAAAUGAUAUUAGAAAUGUGAUAGUUUAGGCAAUUUCCCUAUUAUCAUUCAAAAAUUAAUUUUAUUUGAUGCCAUUUAUUUUAUACCUACGUAGAUUAUAUGUUUAAUUCUAUAUUAUUGAGUUUAAUGAUUUUCCAAAAAUAAUCAAUGAUUAGAAAAGAAGAUAUUUAGACUUUCAGUUUUAAAAAAAAAAAUAUAAAUAUGCAGAAAAAACUCCAAACAUAUGUCUUACAAAAGUUAUGUUUAAUUAUUAUAAUAACAGGAGAAAAAACAAUUGCAAAACGUUACAAAAUAGGCCAAAUUGGCUAGAAAUACACAAAACAUAAGUUAAUUAGUAGAUCAUGCAACAGAAAAUAUAUUUAGAUAGUUGGAGAGAGAAACAGAGGCGAAAAGACUCACCUGACCCGGGGAACUUCACUUGUGCUGUAUAUAGCCUGCAGUGAUAGGGUAGGAUAGAUAGGUCUGCAAUAGGCUUUGUGUCGGUUAAUACAUGUGUGGUCGAUCAAAAGGAAAAAGAAAAACAAGGAAUAAAAUUACCCACAAAUUUACGAAGAUGAAAUCUUUAACUUACUCUUAUGGCAUUUGGAGAAAGGAUAAAUAUUUUUUUUUUUAAAUACUGUCUUUCUAACCAAAGCAAGAUACAAAGGUAGGGAUACAAUGGAUCGAAACAUUAAGCCGACUGACCAUAUAUUAUUGUCACCGGAAAGAAAACCGGCGAAAUAAAAGUUUCCUAGAAACUACAGCCCUACCACAAGGAAUCAAACUAACAAAGAACAAGAUAAACAACAAGAUAAAUCCAGAAUAAAAUAUAGAACACAAAAUUAAAACCAACAGAUACCAAACACCCAAAUCAACCAAAAUCCUUGUGAACCUUCAACAAAAUUACCAAAU